rnacentral:misc_RNA from 1 species
GAUGAAGAACGUAGCAAAAUGCGAUAAGUAAUGUGAAUUGCAGAAUUCAGUGAAACAUCGAAUCUUUGAACGCACAUUGCGCCCGCUGGUAUUCCGGCGGGCAUGCCUGUUCGAGCGUCAUUUCAACCCUCAAGCCCCCGGGUUUGGUGUUGGGGAUCGGCUCUGCCCUUCUGGGCGGUGCCGCCCCCGAAAUACAUUGGCGGUCUCGCUGCAGCCUCCAUUGCGUAGUAGCUAACACCUCGCAACUGGAACGCGGCGCGGCCAUGCCGUAAAACCCCAACUUCUGAAUGUUGACCUCGGAUCAGGUAGGAAUACCCGCUGAACUUAAGCAUAUCAAUAAGCGGAGGA